UGCAAAUGUUAGAGAAGAAUCAGAAAAACGAUCAACAGUUCGUCUACGAGAUGAAAUUCUUUCAAAAGUUUUAGAGGAGACAAAUCUAAAUAUGGGAAUGCGUAGUGUGUUACCCAGGUUCAUUGUGAACAGACUCCGCCGAAAGAGGAUUCUCAUUGUUCUUGAUGAUAUUAGUAAUGUAGAGCAAUUGACAACUUUAGCUGGAGAUCACAAUUGGUUUGGUUCAGGAAGUAGAAUAAUUAUAACUAGCAGAGACAAGCAAGUGCUUAUAAAUAAAGCUGACAAAAUACAUGAGGUUAAGGGAUUGAAUUACCAUGAAGCUCUUCAAUUGUUUAGUUUGAAAUCCUUCAAACAAAAUCAUCCUGUAGAAGAUUAUGUGGUGUUGUCACAGAGGGUUGUCAACUAUACUAAAGGUGUUCCUUUAGCUCUUAAUGUGUUGGGUUCCUUGCUGUACAGCAAGCAAACAGAGGAAUGGAAAAGCACAUUAGAAAAAUUAGAAGAAUCUCCUAAUUUAGAAAUUCAGAAGGUGUUGAAAAUAAGUUAUGAUGAAUUAGAAUGGGUGGAUAAGGAUAUAUUUCUUGAUAUUGCUUGUUUCUUUAAA
rnacentral:misc_RNA from 1 species